UUAUCGGAGAGUUUGAUCCUGGCUCAGGACGAACGCUGGCGGCGUGCCUAAUACAUGCAAGUCGAGCGGACAGAUGGGAGCUUGCUCCCUGAUGUUAGCGGCGGACGGGUGAGUAACACGUGGGUAACCUGCCUGUAAGACUGGGAUAACUCCGGGAAACCGGGGCUAAUACCGGAUGGUUGUUUGAACCGCAUGGUUCAGACAUAAAAGG
rnacentral:rRNA from 1 species